GACGAACGCUGGCGGCGUGCCUAAUACAUGCAAGUAGAACGCUGAGGUUUGGUGUUUACACUAGACUGAUGAGUUGCGAACGGGUGAGUAACGCGUAGGUAACCUGCCUCAUAGCGGGGGAUAACUAUUGGAAACGAUAGCUAAUACCGCAUAAGAGUAAUUAACACAUGUUAGUUAUUUAAAAGGAGCAAUUGCUUCACUGUGAGAUGGACCUGCGUUGUAUUAGCUAGUUGGUGAGGUAAAGGCUCACCAAGGCGACGAUACAUAGCCGACCUGAGAGGGUGAUCGGCCACACUGGGACUGAGACACGGCCCAGACUCCUACGGGAGGCAGCAGUAGGGAAUCUUCGGCAAUGGACGGAAGUCUGACCGAGCAGCGCCGCGUGAGUGAAGAAGGUUUUCGGAUCGUAAAGCUCUGUUGUUAGAGAAGAACGUUGGUAGGAGUGGAAAAUCUACCAAGUGACGGUAACUAACCAGAAAGGGACGGCUAACUACGUGCCAGCAGCCGCGGUAAUACGUAGGUCCCGAGCGUUGUCCGGAUUUAUUGGGCGUAAAGCGAGCGCAGGCGGUUCUUUAAGUCUGAAGUUAAAGGCAGUGGCUUAACCAUUGUACGCUUUGGAAACUGGAGGACUUGAGUGCAGAAGGGGAGAGUGGAAUUCCAUGUGUAGCGGUGAAAUGCGUAGAUAUAUGGAGGAACACCGGUGGCGAAAGCGGCUCUCUGGUCUGUAACUGACGCUGAGGCUCGAAAGCGUGGGGAGCAAACAGG
rnacentral:rRNA from 1 species